GAAAGAUGGUGAACUCUACCUCGGCAGGGCAAAGCUAGAGGAACCUCUGCUGGAGGUCUGUAGCAGUCCUGAUGUGUAAAUCAGUAGUCUGACCUGGCUAUGGGGGCAAAACACUAAUCAAACCAUCUUAUUUC
rnacentral:ncRNA from 1 species